rnacentral:rRNA from 1 species
ACCAACGACCAUACCACGUAGGAUCUACUGGUUCUCGUUCGAUCACCAAAGUCAAGCUACGUCGGGCACGGUCAGUACUUGGAUGGGUGACUGCUUGGGAACACCGUGUGUUGUUGGUAUUU